GGCGAACGCUGGCGGCGUGCUUAACACAUGCAAGUCGAGCGGUAAGGCCCUUUCGGGGGUACACGAGCGGCGAACGGGUGAGUAACACGUGGGUGACCUGCCCUCAGCUCUGGGAUAAGCCUGGGAAACCGGGUCUAAUACCGGAUAUGACUCCAUGACGCAUGUUGUGGGGUGGAAAGCCUUGUGCGGCUGAGGAUGGGCCCGCGGCCUAUCAGCUUGUUGGUGGGGUGAUGGCCUACCAAGGCGACGACGGGUAGCCGGCCUGAGAGGGCGACCGGCCACACUGGGACUGAGACACGGCCCAGACUCCUACGGGAGGCAGCAGUGGGGAAUCUUGCGCAAUGGGCGAAAGCCUGACGCAGCGACGCCGCGUGAGGGAUGACGGCCUGGUU
rnacentral:rRNA from 1 species